rnacentral:rRNA from 1 species
AAAACGACUCUCGGCAACGGAUAUCUCGGCUCUCGCAUCGAUGAAGAACGUAGCGAAAUGCGAUACUUGGUGUGAAUUGCAGAAUCCCGUGAACCAUCGAGUCUUUGAACGCAAGUUGCGCCCGAAGCCGUCCGGCCGAGGGCACGCCUGCCUGGGCGUCACGC